rnacentral:rRNA from 1 species
CAAUAAGCGGAGGAAAAGAAACCAACAGGGAUUGCCCCAGUAACGGCGAGUGAAGCGGCAACAGCUCAAAUUUGAAACCGGGCUCCCCUCGCGGGGGCUCGGGUUGUACUUUGGAGAGGAUGCUUCUGGCGCGGCGCCGUCCGAGUUCCCUGGAACGGGACGCCGGAGAGGGUGAGAGCCCCGUACGGGCGGCCGCCAAGCCUCUGCGAAGCUCCUUCGACGAGUCGAGUAGUUUGGGAAUGCUGCUCAAAAUGGGAGGUAAAUUCCUUCUAAAGCUAAAUACCGGCCAGAGACCGAUAGCGCACAAGUAGAGUGAUCGAAAGAUGAAAAGCACUUUGAAAAGAGGGUCAAACAGUACGUGAAAUUGUUGAAAGGGAAGCGCCUGUGGCCAGACUUGCGCCCCGCAGCCCACCCGGCGCUCCGGCGCCGGGGCACGCCGCGGGGUGCAGGCCAGCAUCGGCUCUUCCGGGGGGACAAAGGCCGCGGGAACGUAGCGCCCUCGCGGCGUGUUACAGCCCGCGGCGGCAUGCCCCCGGGGGGGCCGAGG